rnacentral:rRNA from 1 species
GGGUGAGUAACACGUGAGCAAUCUGCCUUUCAGAGGGGGAUACCGAUUGGAAACGAUCGUUAAUACCGCAUAACAUAAUUGAACCGCAUGAUUUGGAUUAUCAAAGAUUUAUCGCUGAAAGAUGAGCUCGCGUCUGAUUAGCUAGUUGGUAAGGUAACGGCUUACCAAGGCGACGAUCAGUAGCCGGACUGAGAGGUUGAUCGGCCACAUUGGGACUGAGACACGGCCCAGACUCCUACGGGAGGCAGCAGUGGGGAAUAUUGCACAAUGGAGGAAACUCUGAUGCAGCGAUGCCGCGUGAGGGAAGAAGGUUUUAGGAUUGUAAACCUCUGUCUUCAGGGACGAAAAAUGACGGUACCUGAGGAGGAAGCUCCGGCUAACUACGUGCCAGCAGCCGCGGUAAUACGUAGGGAGCGAGCGUUGUCCGGAAUUACUGGGUGUAAAGGGAGCGUAGGCGGGAUCGCAAGUCAGAUGUGAAAACUAUGGGCUUAACCCAUAAACUGCAUUUGAAACUGUGGUUCUUGAGUGAAGUAGAGGUAAGCGGAAUUCCUAGUGUAGCGGUGAAAUGCGUAGAUAUUAGGAGGAAC